UUUAGCAGCACAUAAACUAAACUAAAAAUUGGAGCAAUACAGAGAAUAUUAGCAUGGCCCCUACAUAAAGGUAACACACAAAUUCAUGAAGCAAUGCAUAUUUUU
rnacentral:snRNA from 1 species